rnacentral:rRNA from 1 species
AUUGAACGCUGGCGGCAUGCUUUACACAUGCAAGUCGAACGCGAAAGGGGGCAACCCUGAGUAGAGUGGCGAACGGGUGAGUAAUGCAUCGGAACGUGUCCUGUAGUGGGGGACAACCUCGAGAAAUCGAGGCUAAUACCCCAUACGUCCUACGGGAGAAAGUGGGGGACCGCAAGGCCUCACGCUAUAGGAGCGGCCGAUGCCGGAUUAGCUAGUUGGUGGGGUAAAGCUCACCAAGGCUACGAUCCGUAGCUGGUCUGAGAGGAUGAUCAGCCACACUGGGACUGAGACACGGCCCAGACUCCUACGGGAGGCAG